CAUCGGCGAGGGCAUGGCCAGCCUGUUCCUCGGCCGCAAAACCAUCGACGACGACUUGCUCGACGA
rnacentral:sRNA from 1 species